rnacentral:rRNA from 1 species
AGUGAACGCUGGCGGUAGGCCUAACACAUGCAAGUCGAACGGCAGCACAGUAAGAGCUUGCUCUUACGGGUGGCGAGUGGCGGACGGGUGAGGAAUACAUCGGAAUCUACUUUUUCGUGGGGGAUAACGUAGGGAAACUUACGCUAAUACCGCAUACGACCUACGGGUGAAAGCAGGGGAUCUUCGGACCUUGCGCGAUUGAAUGAGCCGAUGUCGGAUUAGCUAGUUGACGGGGUAAAGGCCCACCAAGGCGACGAUCCGUAGCUGGUCUGAGAGGAUGAUCAGCCACACUGGAACUGAGACACGGUCCAGACUCCUACGGGAGGCAGCAGUGGGGAAUAUUGGACAAUGGGCGCAAGCCUGAUACAGCCAUACCGCGUGGGUGAAGAAGGCCUUCGGGUUGUAAAGCCCUUUUGUUGGGAAAGAAAAGCAGCAGGUUAAUACCCCGCUGUUCUGACGGUACCCAAAGAAUAAGCACCGGCUAACUUCGUG